rnacentral:rRNA from 1 species
GUAGUAAUAGUUAUGUUCUUGAAACUUAAAAAAUUUGGCGGUAUUUUAGUCUAUUCAGAGGAACCUGUCCUAUAAUCGAUAAUCCACGUUGGACCUUACUUAAAUUUGUUUAUCAGUUUGUAUACCGUCGUUAUAAGAAUAUUUUAUUAGAAAAAUAAUUUUCUAGAAUUUUUAUAAAAAUUUAUAUCAGAUCAAGGUGCAGCUUAUAUUUAAGUAGAGAUGGGUUACAAUAAAUUUAUUUAAAUGAAUUAAUUUUUGAAAAAAAAUUAUGAAGGUGGAUUUGAAUGUAAAAUUAUAAAGAUAAAUAAUUUGAUUUUAGCUCUAAAAUAUGUACACAUCGCCCGUCACUCUUAUUAUUAAGGUAAGAUAAGUCGUAACAUAGUAGAUGUACUGGAAAGUGUAUCUAGAAUGCAAUUUAAAGCUUAAAUAGUAAAGCAUUUCAUUUACAUUGAAAAGAUUUUUGUGCAAUUCAAUAUAAAUUGAAUAAAAUUUAUUUAUUAAUAAUUUUGUUUAUAUUUUUUUUAUAUUAGAAAUAACUUUAAUAUUUUAUGUUUAAGUAUUUUAUAAAGAAUAAAUAAUAUUAAUUAUAGUUUAAUAGUAUUGUGAAAGAAAAUUGAAAUAAUUUGAAAA